UGGGGAAUAUUGGACAAUGGGCGCAAGCCUGAUCCAGCAAUGCCGCGUGAGUGAGGAAGGCCUUAGGGUUGUAAAGCUCUUUCACCCGCGACGAUGAUGACGGUAGCGGGAGAAGAAGCCCCGGCUAACUUCGUGCCAGCAGCCGCGGUAAUACGAAGGGGCGAGCGUUGUUCGGAUUUACUGGGCGUAAAGGGCGCGCAGGCGGCUCAUUUUGUCAGGGCGUGAAAGCCCCGGGCUUAACCUGGGAGGUGCGUUUGAUACGGAUGGGCUAGAGUUCGGGAGAGGAGAGUGGAAUUCCCAGUGUAGAGGUGAAAUUCGUAGAUAUUGGGAAGAACACCGGUGGCGAAGGCGGCUCUCUGGACCGAGACUGACGCUGAGGCGCGAAAGCGUGGGGAGCAAACAGGAUUAGAUACCCUGGUAGUCCACGCUGUAAACGAUGUGUGCUAGACGUUGGGGAGCCUAGCUCUUCGGUGUCGCAGCUAACGCGGUAAGCACACCGCCUGGGGAGUACGGCCGC
rnacentral:rRNA from 1 species